rnacentral:rRNA from 1 species
GAUCCUGCCUCAGGAUGAACGCUAGCGGCAGGCCUAACACAUGCAAGUCGAGGGGCAUCACGAGGUAGCAAUACUUUGGUGGCGACCGGCGCACGGGUACGUAACGCGUAUGUAACCUACCUAUAACAGGGGCAUAACACUGAGAAAUUGGUACUAAUUCCCCAUAAUAUUCGGAGAGGCAUCUCUCCGGGUUGAAAACUCCGGUGGUUAUAGAUGGACAUGCGUUGUAUUAGCUAGUUGGUGAGGUAACGG